rnacentral:rRNA from 1 species
GACGAACGCUGGCGGCGUGCUUAACACAUGCAAGUCGAACGGAAAGGCACUGCUUUUGUGGGGGGCUAGAGUGGCGAAGGGGAGAGUAACACGGGAGUAACCUGCCCUUGACUGUGGGAUAACGUCAGGAAACGGGGGAUAAUACCGGAUAGGAGCUCCUGCUGCAUGGUGGGGGUAGGAAAGUUUCGGCGGUUGGGGAUGGACUCGCGGCUUAUCAGCUUGUUGGUGGGGUAGUGGCUUACCAAGGCUUUGACGGGUAGCCGGCCUGAGAGGGUGACCGGCCACAUUGGGACUGAGGUACGCCCCAGACUCCUACGGGAGGCAGCGGUGGGGAAUAUUGCACAAUGGGCGGAAGCCUGCUGCAGCGACGCCGCGUUCGGGAUGACGGCCUUCGGGUUGUAAACCGCUUUCGCCUGUGACGAAGCGUGAGUGACGGUAAUGGGUAAAGAAGCACCGGCUAACUACGUG